ensembl:lncRNA
CCUGGGAGCACGGACUGCCCUUGCAGAGCCAGGACGAGAGGCAUCGGUGUGGUUGGAGGACAAACACUUUGUGAAGUGACAGCGAGAGCUCCAGCUGCAAAUAGAGGAAAUCAGAUUAGAAACCCAGGAGCAGCGGCUCCAGAAACAUCCCUGCUGCAUGGGGACAGCGCGGGGACAGCACAGCGCGGGGAGGGUGGCACAGCCGCUGGCCCCGCUCUGUGACGGAUGAGUUGUCAGAGGCAGCCGACAGCUCACACUGCUGCCAUGGGGCUCAAUGUGACCCCCGAAGCGCCACGCGAGUGACAGCUCUGGGGCCGGUGGCACCGCGUCCCUGCGUGGGGACAGAGCAGCUGUGGGACGUGACUGCGUCCCUUAGAGCCACAUCCACACCUCCCCUGAACGCCUCCGGGGAUGGGGCUGCCAACGCUUCCCUUUGCAGCCGCUUCCAGGUCUUGACCAGCCAAUGGUCAAUGUAAACCUCCCCUGGUGCGACGUGGGGUUGGGAUCAUCCAGGCUGGGGAAGACCUUCAUGAGAUCAUGGAGUCAUAGGGUUAUCCAGAUUGGAAAAGAACUUCAUGAGAUCAUGGAAUCAUUGAGGUUGGAAAGACCUUCAUGGCAUCAUGGAAUCACUGAGGAUCUUCAUGACAUCAUGGAAUCAUCGAGGUCGGAAGAGACCUUCAUGAUGUCAUGAAAUCACCUAGGCUGGAAAGACCUUCAUGACAUCAUGGGAUCAGAUUGGAGAAGACCUUCACGAGAUCAUAGAACCACGGAAUCACUGAGGCUGGAAAAGACCUCUACGUUCACCAAGUCCAACCGUUGACCCGUCACCACCAUGCCCACUGCGCCAUGUCCUGCUGUGCACAAAGAAAGCUUUGGAUGCCACAGAAAUGCAGGGAUGGCCACCAGCCCACCAUCACAUGAGCUGUCAUGGAGGCUCCCAGCUGUGCAGACCCAUCCCCUCCACUGCCCCCCAUGGUGGGGUGCCCAGCCCAGGCAGCUCUAGCUCACAAAGGGUGGGGAAUGUGGGGGCAUUCAGGGCUUUUUCCUCCUUCUAUUGGGAAAUCUUCCACUAGGAAUCUUCCCAUGGAGGUCUGAGGAUUCCCGGUGCCUCGGUCUGAAGACCCAAGGCAAGGUGCUGGGGAG